rnacentral:tRNA from 1 species
GCACUCGUAGCUCAAUUGGAUAGAGCGUCAGCCUCCGAAGCUGAAGGUUUCGGGUUCGACUCCCGACGAGUGUA